rnacentral:misc_RNA from 1 species
GGUCACUCCAUUUUCUCUCUCUAGAAAUUGUAGAGUCAGUGACGAACGAAUUCAGUGCUAUUUACUGCUUGUGGAGUGUAAUGGGAGAAGACCCUGUUGCUGCUUUUUUGCUUGCGGCGCAAAUGUGAAUGCUGUGAAAAUCUAGGGUUUUUUUUUGGGGGGGAUUUUAGAUCUUUUGGUAGAUCUAGUUUUUCUUGAGAUUCUCACUCUAAUUGGAUUGACGAGUUCAUUUCUACCGCUGUUUAAGCUGCCGCCGCCACCGGGUUUUACGAAAUGGCGACGCCUUUUCACUUGCCAGUCACUGCUGCUCAGGUGGGGACAUACUUCGUGGGCCAGUAUUAUCAGAUGUUACAGACCCAACCGGAUUUUGUUCACCAGUUCUACAGUGAUGCUAGUACUGUGCUUCGAAUUGAUUCCAGCACCAGAGAGACUGCUUCAGGAAUGCUGCAAAUUC